GACGAACGCUGGCGGCGUGCUUAACACAUGCAAGUCGAACGCUGAAGCUCAGCUUUUGUUGAGUGGAUGAGUGGCGAACGGGUGAGUAACACGUGAGUAACCUGCCUCCUUCUUUGGGAUAACGCCCGGAAACGGGUGCUAAUACUGGAUAUUCACUGGUCUUCGCAUGGGGGUUGGUGGAAAGGGUUUUUCUGGUGGGGGAUGGGCUCGCGGCCUAUCAGCUUGUUGGUGGGGUGAUGGCCUACCAAGGCUUUGACGGGUAGCCGGCCUGAGAGGGUGACCGGUCACAUUGGGACUGAGAUACGGCCCAGACUCCUACGGGAGGCAGCAGUGGGGAAUAUUGCACAAUGGGCGCAAGCCUGAUGCAGCGACGCCGCGUGAGGGAUGGAGGCCUUCGGGUUGUGAACCUCUUUCGCUCAUGGUCAAGCCGCAACAAUGGUUGUGGUGAGGGUAGUGGGUAAAGAAGCGCCGGCUAACUACGUG
rnacentral:rRNA from 1 species